rnacentral:rRNA from 1 species
CAAUAGCGUAUAUUAAAGUUGUUGCGGUAAAAAAGCUCGUAGUUGGAUUUCUACCGAAGAUAGCCGGUCGGGUCUUCGACCUUGUAUCUGGUUUUGUCUUUGGUAUCCUCAUAGGGAACGUUUCUGCGCUUUAUUGCGUGGUGCGGUAUCUAUGACUUUUACUUUGAGGAAAUUAGAGUGUUCACGGCAGGCAAACGCCUUGAAUAUAUUAGCAUGGAAUAAUAACAUAGGAUCUUCGUCCUAUUUUGUUGGUUUCUAGGACUAAGAUAAUGAUUAAUAGGGAUAAUUGGGGGCAUCUGUAUCAACGCGUCAGAGGUGGAAUUCUUGGAUUGCGUUGCGACAAACUACUGCGAAAGCAUUUGCCAAGGAUGUUUUCAUUGA